GUGGGAGCACGCUUCGGCGUGUGACUGCGUACCUUUUGUAUAAUGGGUCAGCGACUUAUAUUCUGUAGCAAGGUUAACCGAAUAGGGGAGCCGAAGGGAAACCGAGUCUUAACUGGGCGUUAAGUUGCAGGGUAUAGACCCGAAACCCGGUGAUCUAGCCAUGGGCAGGUUGAAGGUUGGGUAACACUAACUGGAGGACCGAACCGACUAAUGUUGAAAAAUUAGCGGAUGACUUGUGGCUGGGGGUGAAAGGCCAAUCAAACCGGGAGAUAGCUGGUUCUCCCCGAAAGCUAUUUAGGUAGCGCCUCGUGAAUUCAUCUCCGGGGGUAGAGCACUGUUUCGGCAAGGGGGUCAUCCCGACUUACCAACCCGAUGCAAACUGCGAAUACCGGAGAAUGUUAUCACGGGAGACACACGGCGGGUGCUAACGUCCGUCGUGAAGAGGGAAACAACCCAGACCGCCAGCUAAGGUCCCAAAGUCAUGGUUAAGUGGGAAACGAUGUGGGAAGGCCCAGACAGCCAGGAUGUUGGCUUAGAAGCAGCCAUCAUUUAAAGAAAGCGUAAUAGCUCACUGGUCGAGUCGGCCUGCGCGGAAGAUGUAACGGGGCUAAACCAUGCACCGAAGCUGCGGCAGCGACACUAUGUGUUGUUGGGUAGGGGAGCGUUCUGUAAGCCUGYGAAGGUGUGCUGUGAGGCAUGCUGGAGGUAUCAGAAGUGCGAAUGCUGACAUAAGUAACGAUAAAGCGGGUGAAAAGCCCGCUCGCCGGAAGACCAAGGGUUCCUGUCCAACGUUAAUCGGGGCAGGGUGAGUCGACCCCUAAGGCGAGGCCGAAAGGCGUAGUCGAUGGGAAACAGGUUAAUAUUCCUGUACUUGGUGUUACUGCGAAGGGGGGACGGAGAAGGCUAUGUUGGCCGGGCGACGGUUGUCCCGGUUUAAGCGUGUAGGCUGGUUUUCCAGGCAAAUCCGGAAAAUCAAGGCUGAGGCGUGAUGACGAGGCACUACGGUGCUGAAGCAACAAAUGCCCUGCUUCCAGGAAAAGCCUCUAAGCAUCAGGUAACAUYAAAUCGUACCCCAAACCGACACAGGUGGUCAGGUAGAGAAUACCAAGGCGCUUGAGAGAACUCGGGUGAAGGAACUAGGCAAAAUGGUGCCGUAACUUCGGGAGAAGGCACGCUGAUAUGUAGGUGAAGUCCCUCGCGGAUGGAGCUGAAAUCAGUCGAAGAUACCAGCUGGCUGCAACUGUUUAUUAAAAACACAGCACUGUGCAAACACGAAAGUGGACGUAUACGGUGUGACGCCUGCCCGGUGCCGGAAGGUUAAUUGAUGGGGUCAGCGCAAGCGAAGCUCUUGAUCGAAGCCCCGGUAAACGGCGGCCGUAACUAUAACGGUCCUAAGGUAGCGAAAUUCCUUGUCGGGUAAGUUCCGACCUGCACGAAUGGCGUAAUGAUGGCCAGGCUGUCUCCACCCGAGACUCAGUGAAAUUGAACUCGCUGUGAAGAUGCAGUGUACCCGCGGCAAGACGGAAAGACCCCGUGAACCUUUACUAUAGCUUGACACUGAACAUUGAGCCUUGAUGUGUAGGAUAGGUGGGAGGCUUWGAAGUGUGGACGCCAGUCUGCAUGGAGCCGACCUUGAAAUACCACCCUUUAAUGUUUGAUGUUCUAACGUGGACCCGURAUCCGGGUUGCGGACAGUGUCUGGUGGGUAGUUUGACUGGGGCGGUCUCCUCCUAAAGAGUAACGGAGGAGCACGAAGGUUGGCUAAUCCUGGUCGGACAUCAGGAGGUUAGUGCAAUGGCAUAAGCCAGCUUGACUGCGAGCGUGACGGCGCGAGCAGGUGCGAAAGCAGGUCAUAGUGAUCCGGUGGUUCUGAAUGGAAGGGCCAUCGCUCAACGGAUAAAAGGUACUCCGGGGAUAACAGGCUGAUACCGCCCAAGAGUUCAUAUCGACGGCGGUGUUUGGCACCUCGAUGUCGGCUCAUCACAUCCUGGGGCUGAAGUAGGUCCCAAGGGUAUGGCUGUUCGCCAUUUAAAGUGGUACGCGAGCUGGGUUUAGAACGUCGUGAGACAGUUCGGUCCCUAUCUGCCGUGGGCGCUGGAGAACUGAGGGGGGCUGCUCCUAGUACGAGAGGACCGGAGUGGACGCAUCACUGGUGUUCGGGUUGUCAUGCCAAUGGCACUGCCCGGUAGCUAAAUGCGGAAGAGAUAAGUGCUGAAAGCAUCUAAGCACGAAACUUGCCCCGAGAUGAGUUCUCCCUGACCCUUUAAGGGUCCUGAAGGAACGUUGAAGACGACGACGUUGAUAGGCCGGGUGUGUAAGCGCAGCGAUGCGUUGAGCUAACCGGUACUAAUGAACCGUGAGGCUUAACCUU
rnacentral:rRNA from 1 species